rnacentral:lncRNA from 1 species
AAGUCCCUCCGAGAGGGGCGGCUCCGCGUCAUGUGACUGGAGUCCGCGUAGGAGGGGUCGGAGGUCUUACCCAACAGAUUGACGCGGCGUUAGUAUUGGCCGUGUACCCGAAAAACUGAUUGACUGGGCUGGCGUUAACUGUGCGGAGGCAGGAUUUCCCUGGGGAAAGUCUUCACUCAGAGCUUCGCUGACAGCCAAGGAUGGCAAGCAAGGGGCCCUCGGCCUCUGCAUCUCCUGAGAACUCCAGUGCAGGGGGGCCCAGUGGGAGCAGCAAUGGCGCUGGCGAGAGCGGAGGGCAGGACAGCACUUUCGAGUGCAACAUCUGCUUGGACACAGCCAAGGAUGCCGUCAUCAGCCUGUGUGGCCACCUCUUCUGUUGGCCGUGUUUACAUCAGAGAGAAGACCCCUCCUCGUCCUCAAGGACAGAGGCCAGAGCCGGAGAAUAGAGGGGGAUUUCAAGGAUUUGGAUUUGGAGAUGGUGGCUUCCAGAUGUCUUUUGGAAUUGGGGCAUUUCCCUUUGGGAUAUUUGCCACAGCAUUUAAUAUAAAUGAUGGGCGGCCUCCUCCAGCUGUCCCUGGGACACCCCAGUAUGUGGACGAGCAGUUCCUGUCACGCCUCUUCCUAUUUGUGGCCCUGGUGAUCAUGUUCUGGCUCCUGAUUGCCUAAUGCUGGGCUCCUGCCUACAUCCGUGGCAGGGCUCUGGACUGGUGACGUGCCACCCCAACUCCUGGUGUUUGGCUUCCUGGCUAAUCUUGACUCCUGGAAUCAGUGGGAUCAGUAACACAUCAAGGAGUCUUGUUUCUUCAUCAGAGCUUUGGAACUCGAGACCAGUUGGCGAUGACCCCUGAAUAUCGCCACCGCUGUAAACACUCUAUAACUUCAGGCCUUGGCAUUGAGUCAUCUCUCAUGGGUGACACCAUGAAAUCUUGUUUCAGCCAGUUCUGCAGGUCCUGACUCUGCAGAGGGAAGAGGCAGAAAGAGAGAAACUGUCAGAGUAUAAUUUCACCUGAGUUUAAUAUUACAGAAACAAAGGGAUGCACCAAAUGGUAUUUCUGGAAAUUUUCAUGUCUUUAAAUACCCCUUGGUAAGUUGCUUCUGAAGCCAGUGGGGGCUCCUCAGAUAGAGAGGUUCCCCUUUCAAAUCCCAGUGCCGCUCUGUUCUCUUUCCUUCCCCUCCCACUCCCCCUCUUCUUCCUCUGUAGAGAUGCAAGAAAUUGCUGUCCCAUAAAAAUCAUAAUUGCAGUAGCUAAAGCUGGGGUCACUUCGUGAAUUCACCAGAGACUCAAAGAUCUUUUAUUGGCUCUGGGCUGUGCUCAGUGUCUUUGGCCUCAGAGAACAACUUGAAUGACUUCCUGGUUUCCUGGCAUAAAUUAUUCCUGGUGAGACAUGUGGCUUAACUCACAGGUUUCCCAUCAGCUUUCUCCCUAAAACUAUGUUCAUCUGCCUCUCUCUGCCAGAGAACAUACAGCCGAGAAUACUGCCGAAGCUGAGACUGACUACUGUGCAUUAGGAAAGACCUGGAGUCAGGACUUUGGUGGGAUUUGGAGCUCCGAGGCAGUAAUAACUGAACAAGCAGCCCUGUCCCCUAGGCUGCAGAAGCUUGAAUGCAUCCUCUCCCAGAACCUGCCACAGGAAACUGGGGGCUUUGUCAGGUCAGCCCAACUGCAUGCAAAAGACCACCAUCCUCAGAAGCCAAGUUGUCUUUUAUGAAGAGGCAAGGAAAGGGGAAACCCACAUGUGACCCUGAUUUUGGUAUGGCUUGAUAGAGUUCCCUGAAAACUCCUUGUAUGUGUGCUAAAACCAGGGAAGCAUGUGACUGCCAAGCAGGCAACCCCUGAUGAUUUGUAAAGCCAGGUGGCAGGGCCUUGGGGAGCCCCAGCACAAUGAUAUUGUGUGGUCUUCCCUCCUGUGGAAUCGAGGGGAAAUUAUUCUUCCCAAUACCUUGAUUUGAUUUUCAGUUUCAUAAGCUUCUUCCUCUGAAUCUUAUUGAGGGACUAUGGUACCAAGCAGGUAGGACUGUUCACCUGGUGGAACAGUUCUUGCUCUGCCUUCUAGGCUUCAUCCCAGAAAUCCAGCCUCUUUCUGGAGACCCCAAAGCUGGAGGGAGAUGGGCUUUCCUCUGGGCCUCUCUCCUACUUUGCCAUCCACACUGCUCCUGGCUAACCCCAGCAAUAACCAACAAAUGGUAGGAAGCCCCAUCUAUUGCUUUUUCUCAAUUAUGACUGCAUAGUUUAUGGAAACAAAGAUCUUGAGGAAGAUGAGGGAAGCCCUCCCCUCUUCACAGUCCCCAUCUCUUCUCCUUUGUACCUGUCAACACCAGAGUUCAGUGUUUAAACAGACAAAAUAUAAAGUAUUGAGUAGGUGGUUCAUAUGCCGAAUCCACUUGGUAGGAAGAAACCACCAGCUUUAUAGUGUGCCUGAUAGAUUUUAAACAUUCCUGGGCACCCACUCAAGAGUGCUCUUUUUAUCACCUUCUGGAAAUCCGCAAAGUUGCAGGGGCCUCUGGAGUGUCUCUUCUCUAGAGAGAAUUGGUGGGACCCCCCUCAGUGCAGUGGCCCCAACUAGUGGAGGGAGAGAGGACUUAAGUCAGAUGGACUCAACAGAAAUGGGUUUCCAGAAGAAUAAUGAAAAGUUGUGGGUAGGAAAAUGAAUCAUUUGGACUCUUCAAUGAAAUGGAGUGAGCCCAGGAGAGCUCAGCCAACAGAGGCACUCUGGGAACCUGUUAGUAAAGCCAGGCUGGCCAAAUGCCAUUUGAUUUUGAACCUCGUAGGUCCCCACUCACCCUCUGCCAGGAGCUAAGUAAGGCAGGAGAGCUGACUUGGGACUCCUGGCUCGGCCCCAACAGGGAGCCCCCUUCCCACCAUCCCUCGGCAAGCUCACCACCUCAUCCUUCUGCCAAGGCAGCUUUCCUUUCUUUUGUGUGUUUUCUGUGUUCUUAGCCUCCACCCUCCUCCUGCCACCCUUGUGGACUAGGACCAGGUCCUGACCCCAGUCAGAAAAUGAUGAUAUGUACAGUGGCACACCUUAACCAGUCACUAAUUUUCACUGUUGUGAAAGUGAUUUGAUUUAGAAUUAAACAAAUGGUUUUACAUUACUAUGA